UCGCGGGGAAUCGGUCUAUGGAAAUGGAAUCAAUCCGAGCUGGGUCGCCGGCUGCUUCCUCGUAGCGGCGCUCGGAGAAGCGCUUUCCGGGAGGGUCUGUCCAGCUUGGACUGAAGUCCCCUCCCCCGCCUUGGGCCUUUUAAAUCGGGCUCUCCGAUGGUCCCGUCCCGUCUCCCAGCUGCCCGCCCUCCACCUGCCCUGGUGGUCUUUGUAGGAUGGAGAAGCCCCUCGGGGAUGAACGAGAGAUCUUUGCAGAGGCAACAGCCCGGCACCGAGCCUGGGCGCGGAAGCGAUUGCUGCGUCGGAUCCCUCGGCCUUGCCAGCGGGGAGGGUUCCGGCGCAGGGUCCGUAGGGGGCGCCACUGAGCCAUUUGGGGAAGGGGCAGAGCGUGAGCAGGGUGUAGCAGUUGAAUGGAGUAGGAGGCGGGCAGGGUGAGCUUUCUUCAAACUACCUGGGCGAGGGAGCGCAGGAGUGCGCAGACAGGGCUGGCCUCGAAGGCGGGGGCUCCAAGCCCCUCUUGUGGGGGGGAUUGAAGCACCUUUGGGCGCGGGGUGGGGAAGGUGUCACAAUGACUCCCAGCUCGUGGGGAUGCGGUGGGGGCAGAUAAGUCAUGGCCUGGAGGGCGUCAACCUCCGAAACAGGUGCAGCGCUGCACCUGUUGGGCGCCCGUCAAAGACGAGGGCGGUAUGUGUGGGGCUGAGGCGGGGGUCCAAACCCAGCGCGGGCUGGCAGCUCUAGAGCCUCCCCGGCUAGGCGAGGCAAGUGCAGGGCCUGAUCCUCCGGCCCGGAGGCAGCCCGGCCCCUGGCGGCCCCGUCUCUCCCCGCAGGCCUCCUCCUCCAGCCGGGCGCGGCCCGCUGGUGCUUCGUCACGACGCUCCGCUCGCUGGCUGGCUGCUUCCCCGGCGGCGGCGGGCGGAGGCUCCCAGGCACACAACGCGCGCGCCCUCGGAGCGGCAGCCUUCGGCGUCGGGUGCUCGGCGCUGCCCGCGCAAUCCCCGCAAGCAGCAGCCUCGCUCGCCCGGCCUGAAGGAGCCGCUCAUCCAAGUCCCAGCCAAGCCAGGAGGGAUGGGAACAGCCAGGUGAACAGGUAAGUGGCCCCCACACCUAUUUCUCCAUCUCUAACAGAGGCUGGUUCUUUGCGGCCUCCCUCCAUGUAACUCUCUUUUUCCCCCAAAAAAAUUUUUUUUAUUGGUUUUCCAUAUUUAUAAACAAACACAAAUACACAAACAAAAAUCUUAAAUCUAAUAAUUCCACUUUUGUUUACAUUGUUGGCUGACUUCCUUGACUCCCCCAAGCUGAGUUUCAAUGUAUAUCAUUGUAACAGUUUUCCAAAACUAUUUUCAGGUAAAAUUUACUUAGGCAAUUAACAUCUUUCUUUCUUUUCAUUUUCACUUUAGACAUAGUAUUCUGUAACAUCCCAUAUUUAAAUCCUAGGCCAAUCUGCUGCUUGCAAAUAUUUCUAUUUAGAUUAUCUUAGCAGAUUUGGUUAAAUAGUCUUUAAAUUUCCUCCAUUCCUUCUGGUACUCCUCCUCUUUCUGGUCACGGACUUUUCUAGCUCCGAAAAGUCCAUCAUCUUCAUCUGCCGUUCUUCCACUGUUGGCCCUUCUUGUAGUUUCCAAUUUUUGGCCAGCAAAAUUCUAGCUGCAGUUGUGGCAUACAAAAACAGUCUUUCUUGGGCAACCUCCCUGUGAAUCUCUGUGAAUCUCUUAGCUUCACCUCUGCAAUCCUGAGAUCAUGGCGGCCUGAACCCUCCCU
ensembl:lncRNA